AUCUGGGAUUGCCAUUGCUUCAAGGAAUGAUUUGAUGCUCUCCACAUGUAAUUGAGGCUCUUCUUCAACAUCUCCCUUGAAUUUUGGCAGGAUAGCAACUGUGUGAGCAUCAAGAACAUUCCAGCUGGUGUAGCCAUAGCACAGAUCUUCUUCUUUGUCAAUGGCAACUUGCACAUUUCUUCGAAUUCUUUUUGAGAGAUUUAAUCCUAGAUCAUGUUCCUAUUGCUAGCACAAGAAAUCACACCCUCCCCAUCAACAUCCCAGGGCAGUUCAUGAAGAUCUUGAUUGCAUGCACCUAGAACCCAAUC
rnacentral:lncRNA from 1 species